rnacentral:rRNA from 1 species
AGAGUUUGAUCAUGGCUCAGGACGAACGCUGGCGGCGUGCUUAACACAUGCAAGUGGAGCGACGAACCAGGGCUUGCCCUGGGGCAGAGCCGCGAACGGGUGAGUAACACGUGGGUAACCUACCCCGAUGACCGGGACAACCCGAGGAAACUCGGGCUAAUACCGGAUGUGCUGAAUCCUCGUAAGGGGAUUUAGUAAAGAUAGCUUCGGCCUUCGCAUCGGGACGGGCCCGCGGCCCAUUAGCUUGUUGGUGAGGUAACGGCUCACCAAGGCUGCGAUGGGUAGCUGGUCUGAGAGGACGAUCAGCCACACUGGGACUGAGACACGGCCCAGACUCCUACGGGAGGCAGCAGUGGGGAAUCUUGCGCAAUGCGCGAAAGCGUGACGCAGCAACGCCGCGUGGGGGAAGAAGGCCUUCGGGUUGUAAACCCCUUUCAGUUGGGACGAAGCUUCGAGGGUUAAUAGCCCUCUGGAGUGACGGUACCUUCAGAAGAAGCCCCGGCUAACUACGUGCCAGCAGCCGCGGUAAUACGUAGGGGGCUAGCGUUGUCCGGAAUCAUUGGGCGUAAAGCGCGUGUAGGCGGUCCGGUAAGUCCGCUGUGAAAGUCGGGGGCUCAACCCUCGGAUGCCGGUGGAUACUGUCGGGCUUGAGUACGGAAGAGGCGAGUGGAAUUCCUGGUGUAGCGGUGAAAUGCGCAGAUAUCAGGAGGAACACCAAUUGCGAAGGCAGCUCGCUGGGACGUUACUGACGCUGAGACGCGAAAGCGUGGGGAGCAAACAGGAUUAGAUACCCUAGUAGUCC